AACAAGGUCUCCGUUGGUGAACCAGCGGAGGGAUCAUUACAGAGUUAUCCAACUCCCAAACCCAUGUGAACUUAUCUCUUUGUUGCCUCGGCGCAAGCUACCCGGGACCUCGCGCCCCGGGCGGCCCGCCGGCGGACAAACCAAAACUCUUGUUAUCUUAGUUGAUUAUCUGAGUGUCUUAUUUAAUAAGUCAAAACUUUCAACAACGGAUCUCUUGGUUCUGGCAUCGAUGAAGAACGCAGCGAAAUGCGAUAAGUAAUGUGAAUUGCAGAAUUCAGUGAAUCAUCGAAUCUUUGAACGCACAUUGCGCCCAUUAGUAUUCUAGUGGGCAUGCCUGUUCGAGCGUCAUUUCAACCCCUAAGCACAGCUUAUUGUUGGGAACCUACGGCUUCGUAGUUCCUCAAAGACAUUGGCGGAGUGGCAGUGGUCCUCUGAGCGUAGUAAUCUUUUAUCUCGCUUCUGUUAGGUGCUGCCCCCCCGGCCGUAAAACCCCCAAUUUUUUCUGGUUGACCUCGGAUCAGGUAGGAAUACCCGCUGAACUUAAGCAUAU
rnacentral:rRNA from 1 species